AGGUCUAAAUUAAAGGGAUAAUAAUUAAGGCACAAAUUCACACUUCUCUUAUUUUGAAACAUCACAACACAAUACAGAGAGAGACACAGAGAAAUCACUCAGUCUCUUCACUGUUUUCCACCAUGUGAACACCAUCGUCCUUCCGUAAUCACUUAGAUCAUCGUGAGGAGCUGUUUGGUUCAAAAAUCAUCUUCUUCUCUCUUUCGUUCGCAAUGACUCAUCGGAGAUUCAAGCCGACAUCUUCUUUCACAUAAAAGGGGACAGGAUACAACUACAAAUUCUAAACUAUACGUCUACAGCUUGCAAUUGUAAGUAGAAUUUUCAAAGCCCAUCCAUUUCUGAGUAAUAUAAUUUUUUGCAGGUUUCCUAAAGUGCAAGUUGGUCUUGCAUUUGGUUUUCACAUGGUUAUUGUCCCACUUUUUUUUUUUUUUUUUUUUUUUUUUUUGUGCAUAAAUCAGAUUUUUUUAAUGGUUAAAUAUUUCAUCCUAAAAUUUUAGUAACAUUAUUUUAAUGGAGAAACUUUCUGUGUUUUCAAAUAUAUGGUUUGGUUUUUUAUUUCCAUCAAUGCAUAUGCAAGGAAAUUUGAAUCUAUUUAAUUUUUAGUUUUGCGCGAAUUUCUGAUCGAGCACAGUUGUGUGUCUAUAUAUAUAUUAUUUCAAGGAUUUUUCUUAUAAUUCUUUUAGUUUGCGCCAGUUCCUUGAAACAUCAGUGAGUUUCUUUUUUCGGCUUAGUUUAACUUCUUUUUUGCUUUAGUUUAAUUUGAUCUUAGAAGUGAGUCUAGAUUUAAGAUUAAUAAAAUUGAGUCACAAGAAGUUUAUUUGGAAUGUGACAGAAAAUCUAUAGUUGCAUAAGGAAAUUGUCUUCAGUUCAUAGUAGGGAUUAAGGUUUGUUACUUAUUUACCUAUUGAAAGAAAAAAAGUGUAUAUGUCCUUAUUGCUAUGUAAAUUGACUUAAUUGUCCUUGUGAAAUUGAUCUGAGUCUAUAAUGAAAAGAAACUAUUUAUCUGCUUUUAGUUUUACUACUUUCAAAUAUUUAUCCUGAAACAUUAAAUGAAAGAACAUGUAUCAGUGACAGAAACAAAUAAAUCUACCUACAUGUCUUGGUAUUAGAUGAUUUCGUGGCCAGAUGAAUAAGCAGGAGCGUUGUUCAAUAGUGCAACUAGAGGAAUGUACUAUUCUAGUUGUUAAUUCUUUUCCUUGUAGUGUUUUUUUUUGGACUAAACUUGUAUCUACAAUUUGAUAUUCUUUUGUUUCACUUUGUUGAUCCACCGAUUAGCUUUUGAAGGCUAUUGAUUAAAGAACAAAGUUCCCUGAUUUGUCGAUUUAUAUAAUUUUUCCUCGUAUUGUUUGUAGAGAGCCCUCAAGAACAAA